rnacentral:rRNA from 1 species
AUUGAACGCUGGCGGCAUGCUUUACACAUGCAAGUCGAACGGUAACAGGUCUUCGGAUGCUGACGAGUGGCGAACGGGUGAGUAAUGUAUCGGAACGUGCCCAGUAGUGGGGGAUAACUACUCGAAAGAGUGGCUAAUACCGCAUGAGAACUGAGGUUGAAAGCGGGGGGACCUUCGGGCCUCGCGCUACUGGAGCGGCCGAUAUCAGAUUAGGUAGUUGGUGGGGUAAAGGCUCACCAAGGCGACGAUCUGUAGCGGGUCUGAGAGGAUGAUCCGCCACACUGGGACUGAGACACGGCCCAGACUCCUACGGGAGGCAGCAGUGGGGAAUUUUGGACAAUGGGCGCAAGCCUGAUCCAGCCAUGCCGCGUGCGUGAAGAAGGCCUCGGUUGUAAGCUCUUCGUCAGGAACGAAACGGUAGGUCCCGUAACUACGGAUUGCUAAUGACGGUACCGUGAAGAAGAAGACACCGG